GAGCAUCCUUGAAAACCCCCCAGUUGCUCUUGGUAGCGUCUGGGACAAGAAAGGAUGCAAGAUCAAUCUUAGAAUCAUCCAAAACUGGGAGUUGGUGUUAGUAGCUCUCAGUUAUUUCACCUCUAAGACAGAA
rnacentral:snoRNA from 1 species